rnacentral:rRNA from 1 species
AGCGGGGCCCAUCCCGUAAGGCUAAAUACUCCCGAGAGACCGAUAGCGAACCAGUACUGUGAAGGAAAGGUGAAAAGAACCUCGAACAGAGGAGUGAAACAGACCCUGAAACCAUGCGCCUACAAGCGGUCGGAGCAUGUUAAAAUGUGACGGCGUGCCUUUUGCAUAAUGAACCUACGAGUUACUCUCGCUGGCAAGGUUAAGCGAUUCAGUCGCGCAGCCGAAGCGAAAGCAAGUCCGAACAAGGCGUACAGUCAGCGGGAGUAGACGCGAAACCAAGUGAUCUACCCUUGGUCAGGUUGAAGGUUGGGUAACACCAACUGGAGGACCGCACCGAUAAGCGUUGAAAAGCUUACGGAUGAACUGAGGGUAGGAGUGAAAGGCCAAUCAAACUUGGAGAUAGCUCGUACUCCCCGAAAUGCAUUUAGGUGCAGCCUCGAAGCAGAGUGAUAGAGGUAGAGCGACUGAUAAGAUGCGAGGGCUUCACCGCCUAUCAAGUCUUGACAAACUCCGAAUACUAUCACUUGAUCUUCGGGAGUGAGGGCAUGGGUGCUAAGGUCCAUGUCCGAAAGAGGAACAACUCAGACCACCAGCUAAGGUCCCGAAAUAAGGGCUAAGUUGAAUAAACGAAGUAAAACUGCAAAGACAGCUAGGAUGUUGGCUUGGAAGCAGCCAUUCAUUUAAAGAGUGCGUAACAGCUCACUAGUCGAGGAGUUUUGCAUGGAUAAUAAUCGGGCAUAAGCCCUUUACCGAAGCUGUGGAUGUCGUAAGACAUGGUAGGGGAGCAUUCCGGCGGCGACGAAGGCCGUCCUCGAGGACGACUGGAGCUUUCGGAAAAGCAAAUGUAGGUAUAAGUAACGAUAAAGGGGGCGUGAAACCCCCUCGCCAUAAGACUAAGGAUUCCUGAUCAACGCUAAUCGGAUCAGGGUAAGUCGGGCCCUAAGGCGCAGCCGAACGGCGUAGCCGAUGGAAGAAACGGUAAAGAUUCCGUUACUGGAUAUAGGAGCGAUGUGGAGACGGAGAAGUGACACACCCGCCUGCCGACGGAAGCGCAGGUUAAAGGAAGUAGGUAAACGCCGGGUAGGCAAAUCCGCCUGGCGUGCCGAAGCUGACAGUAUCGAGAGCCCCCGGGCAAUCGAAUAGCGGUGGUAAUCAGGCUCCCAAGAAAAUCCGCUAAGCAUAUUCUAUAUCCACCCGUACCCCAAACGGACACACGUAGUCGGGUAGAAUAUACCAAGGCGCUCGAAAGACUCACGGUUAAGGAACUAGGCAAAUUGACCCUGUAACCUCGGGAAAAAGGGUCCCCAGUAAGAUGGGGCGCAGAGAAUAGGUCCAGGCAACUGUUUAACAAAAACACAGGGCUGUGCAAAAUUUCAAGAUGAAGUAUACAGCCUGACACCUGCCCGGUGCCGGAAGGUUAAGAGGAGAGCUUAUCGCAAGAGAAGGCUUGAAUUGAAGCCCCGGUAAACGGCGGCCGUAACUAUAACGGUCCUAAGGUAGCGAAAUUCCUUGUCGGGUAAGUUC